GAUGAACGCUAGCGGCAGGCCUAAUACAUGCAAGUCGUACGGCAACACAGUUGCGAGCAAUCGCAACCGGUGGCGAGUGGCGCACGGGUGAGUAACGCGUAUGUAACCUACCCUUCUCCGGGACAUAACUCCGCGAAAGCGGUGCUAAUAUCCCAUACCAACUCAUCAAGACAUCUUCUUGAGUUGAAAGCAGCAAUGCGGUGAAGGAUGGGCAUGCGUCCCAUUAGCUGGUUGGUGAGGUAAUGGCCCACCAAGGCUACGAUGGGUAGGGGUUCUGAGAGGAAAGCCCCCCACACUGGUACUGAGACACGGGACCAGGACUCCUACGGGAGGCAGCAGUAAGGAAUAUUGGGCAAUGGUCGAAAGACUGACCCAGCCAUGCCGCGUGCAGGAUGAAGGCCCUAUGGGUUGUAAACUGCUUUUAGCCGGGAAUAAACACCCGUUUUAAACGGGCCCGAAGGUACCGGCUGAAUAAGCAUCGGCUAACUCCGUGCC
rnacentral:rRNA from 1 species